GUUGUACUGACUGACUCACCCUGCAGCACCACCUCAAGUGACCAGAACCUACAAGUGCUGCAGUUGAGGUCUGUUAUAUGUCCUCUCUCUGCCUCUAGGAAGGACGGGGAGGCUGCUAAGCCGUGGAUUUCACAGGUUGGGCAGAAACAACCUCCAGAAGCACCUGCAGUCCUAGGGCAGUUCCCAAGGGCCCUGAGCUAAAUGCCUAAGGGCGCCAGGCAGGCUCUCAGGUCAUGUCCCUGCCCCUGGCCCGGGAACCACACUGUGCGUGGUGAGCAUUCACCCUUCCACCUGGAAAUUCUCUCGGACGCUAUAUCCCUGGCCACGCCUGCUUGCUGACCUGGGAGGGACUGAACACUCACUACACCUGUAGGGACACUCUGGGCGGCUGCCGCUGCCACUAACUCCUGCCAUGGCCUCCAGUGGUGCUGAAGGACACCCCAACUUGACAGUGCCAAGGCCUGGGCUCUGGAACUUCGCUGUUCCACAAAAGAAAGUUCAGUUGGACCGGUGGGGGGGGGGGGGAGGGGGGACGGGCAGUGGUUGCAGACGCCUGUUGGAGAGAUCUAAGCAGAGAGGAUUCUCUGUGCGCUUGGCAAGUGUCCAGUUCAACAGAAAAUCCUACCAUUCCUCGGCCGUGCUGGUGAGUAAAGGUGUGCUGAGGCCUGUUUGCCUUCCUCUCUCCCCAGAGCCUUGCAGCCAGCUUUUCUCUGCACUUGGGCAAGACACGGUGAUGCCCACAGAAGGGGCCGGUUUCUGACUGGCGGUGGGGGGCGGGGGGGAGAAGGGAAGGACUAUCGAGGCUAAGCGGAGGCUAAUCGUCAGGCCACAAACCCCUGCUCCGGGGGAACCGCAGGUCUCUGCCUCCUCUGGGGUUGGGGAUUCCAACCCCAGACCUUCCUUCCUGGGGCCCUGGGAGGCCCUGGAAAGUGGAGAAUCCCCAGCCCCACCUCUCCUGAUGGGCUCAGAGUUACUGGGGCCGGCGCCCAUACACCCAGGCCAUCCGGAAGCUUAGGAGUGCAGAAACCACCUAGGCCACUCCUUAUUUCAUCAUGAGGGAAAUCCAAGCCCAGAGAGUGCACGAGACUUUCCCGAGGUCACACAGCCUGUGUAAAGGCCCAGAAUCCUUUGAGGCAGAGCCGGACAGAAGCCACUGGUAUCAGCCAGACUGUUGGUCACCCAUAGCAGCAACUUUCAGGAAAAGGACCUUCCGGAAUACUCCUGAGAGAAAGAGGGGUGUCUGAGGGAAAUGGUAGAAAGGGGUCACGGGGGUUCACCUAAGAAGGGGAGGGUCAUGGAUCACAGUUUCUUCAAGGAAGGUAGAGAGCAGGGCUUCUGCCCUGACAGAAUGCUAGAGACAACAUUCAUCUUGUCCUCUGGCGAACGGUGCUCCCGAAAGUUCUGUCUUUUGUGCAGUGCACAGCCUGUGGGGCCUGGCAGGGACGCCCCGUUAAUGCAGUGCAGUGGGGGCGAGGGGUUGUCAGAGAAGAGGUCUCAGAAGGUCAUGAGUACAAGGGUUCUCAAGUCUGGAUUCCUGGGCCAUUCCAGACCGACAGAACCAGAACUCCCCCCUCCCAGGGGAAAAUUCCUGGGUUUAGGAAAGAGCCUGGGCUCACUCAGACAGGAAUUGGGACACCUGGCUUGGGUGGGAAGUUCAGCGGGCAGGGCCAGGCCCUAAGGCUGGAGAGGAGGCCCCUGGGAGAUCGGCAGCUGGGCUUGGGAGCAAGGGGGCAGCACCUGUUCCCGCUGCGCUGCGCGCCUCACUUCCCGGAGAACUGGCCCGGCCUCGCCUUCUCCAGCUUCAGGCGCCGCUCCAGGGGGAUCUCCUGCAGGCUGAUGCCGUGGUUGCUGGCCCUGCGGGGAGGGGGGCGGCGGCCUCAGGGAGGGGCAGGCGGAGGGCGGGGUCAGGCCGGGAGAAGGGGUCCGGAGGCUGGUUCCUCACCCCGGCUGCAGAUCCGGCGGUUUGGGGAUGGGCUUGUUGAAGCCGCGUCUGCCCACCAGCCAGUACGUGUCUUCGGCGCCCUUACCCUGGAGAGACACGGGGCGGGGGGGUGGGGGGGUUAGGCGGCUGGGGCGAGGGCGGUGGAUCUCGAGGUCUAAGUGGCACCCAAAACCCCCGGGGUUGCGGCCCAGGAGGGGGCGGGGCCGGUCUCACCUUCAGCUCGGUGCGGCCGCGCACCUCUGUCUGGAAGCCCUCGUCCAGGGCGCGGAGAAUCUGGACGGUGCUGAUGUUCACGUGGAUGCGGUAAGCUGGGGCGACAGGGGACAGGGGACGUGGUGAUUUCGGGACUCCCCUCCCGCGUCCCCCUCCCCGAGCCACUUCCCCCUCGCUCCGUGAAUCGCCCCCCCCACCCCCGGACCCCACCCCGCCCCACUCACGCAGCCCCGUGGACUCCAUGCGCGAGGCGGUGUUGACCGUGUCCCCAAACAGGCAGUACCGCGGCAUGGUGAGGCCCACCACGCCCGCCACGCACGGGCCUGCGGAGACGCGCAGGGUGGGUGGCCGUGCUGGCGGCUGGGUGGCACCUGGCACCUCGGGAGACUCUCUAACGCCCCAUCAUCUCCACCAGCUCCCCAAGGGUACCUCUCAAUCACGACGGGGUGCCUGCCGAGGCGGCUUCACAGCAAGUCCCGCUGCCCCCGUCCCCCCCCCCACCCCCCCACCGCACGAAUGUCCAGGGAAUGCGGAACCGGCCCUAGACGGGGAGGGAGGGGGCCACGGGAGCCCGGGAGGUACCCGAGUGCAGGCCGAUGCGGAUGCGCACGGGCACCUCGGGCAUGUGGCGCAUUCGGAAGGAGCCCACGGCACUGAGGAUGUCCAGAGCCAUGUUGGCGAUCUCCGCCGCGUGCCGCUGCCCGUUCCGCUGGGGCAGCCCGGAGGCCACCAUGUAGGCGUCCCCAAUUGUCUCCACCUGACGGAAAGGGUGGUGCAAGUCCGGUACUGAGCACCUCUCUCCCGCCAAGCGACUGUCCUUUGUCAGGCGGCCUAAGCUGGGGGUGCAGCGCGGGGAUCCUGGGGAGGCUUCCAAAUGGGGACGGGGGCAGUGGGGCUGAACUGGGGGCUAGCGGAGCUGAAGGAGGGUUGCUCCCCCCUCCCCCCCUCCCCGCUCCGGCACACCCCACCUUGUAGACGUCGUGGGAGCCGAUGAUGGCGUCAAAGAGCGUGUAGAGGUCGUUGAGCAGGUCCACCACCUCGAUGGGCUCACUCAUGGCCGAGAUGGUGGUGAAGCCCACGAUGUCGCUGAAGUACAGAGUCACCUCCUCAAAAUACUCGGGCUCCACAGGUGUCCCAGUCUUCAGAGCCUCAGCCACAGAACUAUCUCCAGCUCUUCCGUGCGCUCCCGGAUCAGGUCCUCCAGGUUGCUGGAGUACUGCUCCAGCAUCCUCAGCAUGGAGUCAAUGAUGUUCGUUUUCCGGCCCUUGUUGAUGCUUUUGAACUGUCCUCAGACUGCCCCUUGGGAAACGGCCUGGAGGUCAGAGGUCCCGCGAGUCUGCCUUCCUGAAGCCUCCCCGGGUUGCUGACAAGCGGCCAGGCCAGCCCUUGCCCAAUGCCAGCCGCUGACCUGCUCGAAGGUGCGGUCCAUGGAGGGCCGGAGGUCCGGCUGCUCCGCCCAGCACUGUUUCAUCAGCUGGAUGCACUCCGUGGGCGCCUGGUCCACGGACACGGAGGGCCGGCACAGUGGAGGGGGACUUCGGACCCUCUCCACCACUUCUGGAGGCAUGAGGGGACCAACAGAGGCCACCUCUGACUCUGGCCUGACUGCUGAAGCCCGCGAUCAGAGCUUCCGGAAGGAGGCGGGGAAGCGCGGGGAGGGAGGGGAGGGCGUUGCUGGAAGGAACGGGAGGAUCCUGAACCCUGGGGGUGGGAGGGUGGGGGGCGCAGGGGGCAGUUAGAGGUGACAGGCAGAGCUAACAUUUGUCGCAGUUGAGAGUGAGGGUUGGGGUGGCCCAGUAGCUUGCUGACUCCUGGAUGGUAAGUCAUAGGGAUCUGAACCAGAUCCCACUGCCUUCGCCCCCUUCCCCCGACACUGCUGCCUCCCUGCCGUCCCUAAGAACCAGAGGGGAGCCCCCUCCCUCAGCCGGAGGAGCAGGUUGGGUCCAGGAUGAGGACAGAGACAACCACUGAUGUCUGGGAGCCUAAGAGCCGCCCCCUCCCAUCCUGACGCUUGCUCUGCCCGGCCCUGACCCUUGAGAUCCACAUAAGGGAGGCCCACAUAAUUAAGCCUCAGCUCCGGGCUUUAGGGCAGAGGGGCUGGGUCUGGCGAGAGGCUCUGCCGGGCCGCCGGCUGGAAGCGCGACGCGAGCGAGCGUACCCUCAGCGGUCAGCUCCAGCAUGGCGUAGGGGGCGCUGCGACACACGACCUCCUGCAUGAUGAUGCCCAGGCUGAAGACGUCACCCGCCAUCGUUCCCCUGCGCUCCAGGGCCGGGUCCCGAAGCAGCUCCGGGGCUGUCCACAGCUGGUCUGGGGUCGGGGGAGGGGGCGUGGGCAUGCGGGAGGGCCUGGGGACGCUGGGGACAGACCCCCGCCCUAACCAAAAAGCCCAGGCUCGCACCCACUCACCAACUCCCAGCCCGAGUGUGGCCCCGCUGCCCGCAGCUAUCCCCCGGAGAAACUACCAGAAACCCGACGCGGGUCUCGGAGAAAGCUCGGGCCUCACAAAUAGGCCCCGCCCUUUAUGCAAAGAGGGGCUCAGAGGACCCCGCCCCUCGGGCACAAGCCACGCCCCCUCGAGCCCCCGCCUCCCCAGUCCAGUCCCCUUCUCCUCUCUGAGGUCCGGAGACCUGAGACCUUUACCGAGGCCGGGGCCACGUGCAGUGGGCGUGGGAGGGAGAGGACUCGAAGGCGGAGGGACGGAUGGAUGGAGGGGCCCCUGAGAUAACGGGGGUCCCGGGGAUGCCCAUCCGCGCGGGAGGCAGCGGAGGGGGGCGGAAUCCUACCCUCUGCGCUGGGAGGCUCCGGCAACACCCUUUGCGCUUCCAGCAGUCGCCCCUGACCGUGGUCGGUGACUUUCAGCACGAACCUCCCGUCCACCACGCAGUUCCGUGACUUAAGGCGCCCGUGGGCCACGCCUCGGUGGUGCAGAUACCUCAUUCCCUGGAAGGGGUGGGAUACGAGGCGACCUGAGCCCUGCGGCUCCCCUGCCCCCUCCUCCCUGCCACCCCCGCACCCCCUCCCCACCACCUUGAUGAGGUCCAGGAGGAGAGAGGACUUGAACAUCCAGUCCAGCUUUAUGUCUCUCUGGGCGAGGAGGUCGUGGAGGGAGCCCCGGGUACAGUGCUCGGAGACCACGGCCAGCAUGCGCUCCCCGGGGGCCAUGGUGCCACCCGCUCCGCUGCCGAGGAAGAGCCCCAGAUGCCUGAGGUUAAGUGGUGACUUAGUCUGGGGACCCUAAGUCAUUCUGCAGCUGUGACUGAGAGCUUCUGUGGAGGCGUCAGAGGAGGCCAGGCGGAGGCUGCACGAUGUAAGGGGGGGCCUCGAAGUGGGACGAUCAGAAUAAGCCAGGCCACCGCCUCCUUGCCAGCUUUCUGCUUCGCCCAGUAGGCAUUAUCUGACUCUUGGUUUUGGCUCAGGUCGUGAUCUCAUGGGUUCAUGGGAUCGAGCUCCACAUGGGGCUCUACACUGAUGGAGCCUGUGUGGAAUUUUCUCUCUCUCUCUCUGCACCCCCCUCCAUGCGCGCUCUCUCUCUCUCAAAAAUAAAUAAACAUUAAGAAAAAAAUGGAAGAGCAUAACGGGACACCUGCUUUGGGAGAGGGCACUUCCACUGAGACCUGUUGGUCUCUCCUAGAUUCGGGUCUAUCUCUGUCCCCAGCUGCAAAGAGAAGGUCAAGAGGGAAGGAAAUGACGGCCACCCCACACCCCACACCCCACCACGGGCUCAACGCUCACCUUGGAGAAGACUGUCCUGGUUGCUGGGCGGAUAGCUAUGUGCUGAUCCCCUGGGAAUUUCUUCAGCCAAACCCAGUCUCCCUGGAGCAGAGAUGGGAGUAGUUUUUUGUUGUUGUUUUUAAAGAGAGAGAGAGAGAGAGCAUGCGCACAAGCCAGGGAGAGGGCCAGAGGGAGAGAGAGAAUCUUAAGCAGGUUCCACGUUCAGCAAGGAGCCAAAUGUGGGGCUCGAUCCCACAACCCUGGGAUCGUGACCUGAACUGAAAUCAAGAGUUGGACGCUGACUGAGCCACCCAGGCGCCCCAGAGAUGGGAGCAGUGAACUCAGUUUCUGAAAAGCCCGUGAGGUGAAAAGCCACAGAGUCCCCACGUUUCCACUGGCCUACUGCCUCAGGACACAUCCUGCCUGUGACGCAGAGGUUCAGAAGCAAAGCGUUUGACAUCUGUCAGUCCACUUCACAGCUGGCGGGGAUGGGGGCCACCCUCGCGUGGCUGUCCUCACCAACGCAGACGCACCCACCCACAGCCUUAGUAAGCAAGCCGUUAGCACCACAAAUGUCAUUGAGGCCACAGCCCUCCUCACCAUCUGUUGCCCUGAGAGAGCACUGUGCUGGGAGUCAGGAGUCUGGGGAGAUCAGGCUUUUAUGACAGACUGACUGUGACGCACAGGCAGUUCCCCUCCAGGCUCGGAGCCUCACUGUCCUCAGCUGUGGGCAGGGCUGGUCCAUGGGAACGCGGUCCCAUCGGGCCCCAUGCUCACGAGGGCCUGUGCUUGGUUCAGCCGUCUGCUCCACCGUCCUGAACCAACAGGGAGCCCUUCGGUGUCAUUCUGCCUUAGACCCUGCAAUCUCUGUAGCCGGCCUCGUCCGUGGGUGAGGGGUUUGGCCGCACUGGCAGGAGAUUCUGGUGGUUUGGUGUCGACUCCUAACGAGCCUUUGGAAAUACAUAGGGGACAUUCUUAAUUGUUCCAAAACUGGGAGAUGUGUUUUGUGGGUGGGACAAGAGACACUAAACGUUCUUCAAGGCACAGGGUAGGCCCAUUCAAAUGAUUAACCACAACUUCCCCCAGUGACAAGUGGCCGCGGUGGCCUGUAGGUGACAUAUUGGGACCCUCUGCAUGCUCUGUGGAACCUGACAUCUGGAAGCUCCAAGCCUCCACCCCGCUCUUGAUUAGCUGAGCUCCCUCAGCUCUUUCUGGGUCUGUCGUGAUUCCCAAACAUCCUACAGCAUUCAGAUUUGCUGACCCAUAGUGAAGGUCCUAAUGCCCUUCUGUGACUUUUUCCUUCCAUCCCCUGUAAGCUCACGGUUCCUGAGUCUGAUCUGAAUUGGGUGGAAACGCUGGGUAGGACCAGGAUGCGGGUCUGUCUGUCUUGAGUCAGGAUAGCCCCAUCUGGGACCUCCCCGUCCUGAACAACCCGUGUCCUGGAAAUGUCCUUUUUGUGACCACGAUGCCACAUCCCAGAUGCCCCAACCUUUCCAGGGAGGCCCACGCCCUUCAGUAGCCUGAAGUCUUGGAUCAACGGAGGGGGCAGGGCCAGGGGCUCCCAACGGGGAGGGGGAUGGCUUCGGUGGCCACACCGGGCUGCAUGCUGGUGCCGGAACACCCCCCACCAGGCAGGCCUCCGGCCUCGGAGCCACCGUGAUUGGCCUUUGAGGAGCCCUCAUCUGGAUAAAGGCUAAGGGAAAAACCCUGGGGCAGGAAGGAUUCUCAGACGCUCCCCUUUGGGGAACCCGUGACCUCUUCCUAGAGCCCAUUCUGGGCUCCUAUCACCA